rnacentral:ncRNA from 1 species
CUCUGUCUCUCAAGGAUUCAGGGCAAAAAGGAG